rnacentral:tRNA from 1 species
GCGCCGGUGGUGUAAUGGAGCAUUCCCGCCCGGUUAGAGGGAGGUGCGGGUUCGAGUCCCGCCUGGCGCU